UUGAAAACGUCCUUUGAUUGACGUCACAUCUGUUGAGAAAUGGCGUCGCUGUUGUGCGCGCUUCUGAAUUUUCAUUUUUUUUGUCUCUUGAUUGACAUGAUAGUCAUUGACAAAUUGUGCUGCUAAUGUUUAAUACAUCGGAAGAUAAGUAAUUGAGCAGAGAAAAGCCGUUCCCACGUUGCCACACAUUGUCGUUUGAUUGAUAUCACAUCAGUUGAGAAGCUAAAUUCUAUUACAUCUGAUUAGAUUUUCCCAUGUCCAAUUGGAUGUUAACGGGAAAUGUCCAGUACUUCGGAAUGUACACACAUUUGAGCUGAGGAAAGCAAUCGCAUACCUGGCCACGCAUGUGACCAACAGUCUGCUUGUGUGUCCAGGUCAGCCUUGGUGCAUUGUGGGCUUGAACCCCCCACGUCCUAGCUUGACCUGUCAGUGUCCCCAAAGAGCUUUUUCAAGCCCCCAAAUGCGUACACCCCACUCCUCAUCCGGAGUACGACAGUGAACACAAAUGACUUAACAGCAAUGUUACGUCAGUGGACAUACAUGAACAAUAUUUUAUUUGCGUUUACCAAUAUAUUUUUAUUGUUUUUUUUUGUUGUUUUUGUUUUUUAAAUGCUGUUUGUUUUUGCUCCCCUAUCCCAUUUGCUGUUCUGUUGUCUUUUGCACUUCAGGGCCACCAUAGAAAUGCCUUCAUUCAUACAAUUACAUUUUGUCACUAUUAGUCAUAUUUUAUCUAUUUAAACCCGAAAAUGUAUGCUGGCCAGACGGCUUUGGGAUGACGAGUCCUUUUUUUUCUCACUUUUAUUCAAAUGGGGUUUCCUGUAUUGUAAACAAGAUUGGUUCAUAAAACAGACCAGACCGCAAGAGGAACAAAGUCAUCACACCCCCUGAAAUAUGCAAAGGUUGUGCGGGUGUGGGGGAGGGCGAAGGGGGUGUAAGGUAUUUGUCCUGUGGGCAGAGUGUGAAUUUGUUAGGUGAUUAAAGGCUAAAAAUAACCUCCUGGCUCUGCUCUGGACACUUCAGUGACAAACUUUUCCAGGAGUGCAGAACAACCUCCAAACCUCAACACGGGCGAGAUGGGCCGUCAUGUGAAUACUUGCUCGUCGGAGUGAAGUAGCGAUUGGUGGUGUUAAAAAUUGAACCGUUAAAACGCAUUUUCUUGAUCAAACAUGUCUCGACCGGGUUGUCAUCGCUAAGUGACCAUUUUCAAAAUUGUCUUUACAGGUCACCAUUUCAAGUGAAAAUUGGGGGCGGAGGGCGGGAGAAACGUCUUGACCAUACCAAGUUGUCAGCACCUACGGAAUUCCAGCAGUGCCUAUAAUGACCACGAGAGGGCAGUAUCACUUUGCAAAGACCUCUUUCCUCUUCCUGCCCCAGUACGAAGUUGUCUUCAAAGGGUGAGUAGUUUCACUUUUUGUUUGCUUUUUCUUCCCAGCACACCUCGGAGCCUAAUACAUGUUAAUAA